UACGGGGGGGGCAAGCGUUGUUCGGAAUUACUGGGCGUAAAGGGCUCGUAGGCGGCCAACUAAGUCGGAUGUGAAAUCCCCAGGCUUAACCUGGGAACUGCAUCCGAUACUGGAUGGCUUGAAUUCGGGAGAGGGAUGCAGAAUUCCAGGUGUAGCGGUGAAAUGCGUAGAUAUCUGGAGGAACACCGGUGGCGAAGGCGGCAUCCUGGACCGGUAUUGACGCUGAGGCGCGAAAGCCAGGGGAGCAAACGGG
rnacentral:rRNA from 1 species